rnacentral:antisense_RNA from 1 species
UAACAAUCUAGAGCACCACGGAGUGAGUUUCCAGGUCGGCAUAAAAGCGAACGGGACAGGGCGCCCCGGGCUGCGGCAGCUUGGCCGGCCCGCUGCCUGGCGCGCCCCCGAGGGGCGGUAAUGGAACGUGCCUUUGGCUGAAGAAAGAGUGCUCCCGGCCAGCGCAGGGUCGCCUAGGGGGUUCCGCGUUGCCAAAUGCAAAGGAUGAAACAGUUACACAAGCAGAGACGGGGUUUCACCAUGUUGCCCAGGCUGGUCUCGAACUCCUGGACUCAAGUGAUCGGCCCUCCUCGGCCUCCCAAAGUCCUGGGGUUAAAAGCGUGAGCCACCAUGCUCAGUCGGCGGGGGAUUAUCUGUGAUCCAGUGAAGCUGGACUAGAGAUGUGAAGCCUUAGAAAACGGUGGCUUGAAAAAAGAAUUUUAGUCUCCUCCAGAGAUUAUAUUUUGUGUGUUCAUUGCUCUCAAAAACAUGAAAAUAAAGAGUAUUUUAUAUUGUG